GAUAAACGCUGGCGGCGUGCAUGAGACAUGCAAGUCGAACGGACUUUCAAGCUUGCUUGAAGGUUAGUGGCGGACGGCUGAGUAACGCGUAGGUGACCUGCCCCAAAGUGGGGAAUAACUGCCCGAAAGGGUGGCUAAUACCGCAUGUGGUCGAUCAUUCAUUUAAUCGAUCAAAGCAGUAAUGCGCUUUGGGAGGGGCCUGCGUCCGAUUAGCUCGUUGGUGGGGAAUGGCUCACCGAGGCGACGAUCGGUAGGUGGUCUGAGAGGACGAUCACCCAGACUGGGACUGAGACACGGCCCAGACUCCUACGAGAGGCAGCAGUCGGGAAUUUUGCUCAAUGGACGAAAGUCUGAAGCAGCAACGCCGCGUGAGGGAUGAAGGCC
rnacentral:rRNA from 1 species